rnacentral:rRNA from 1 species
UGCAGUCGAGGGGUAUAUUUCUUCGGAGAUAGAGACCGGCGCACGGGUGCGUAACGCGUAUGCAAUCUACCUUUUACAGAGGGAUAGCCCAGAGAAAUUUGGAUUAAUACCUCAUAGUAUAGCUCUACCGCAUGGUAGUACUAUUAAAGUCACAACGGUAAAAGAUGAGCAUGCGUCCCAUUAGCUGGUUGGUAAGGUAACGGCUUACCAAGGCUACGAUGGGUAGGGGUCCUGAGAGGGAGAUCCCCCACACUGGUACUGAGACACGGACCGGACUCCUACGGGAGGCAGCAGUGAGGAAUAUUGGACAAUGGGCGCAAGCCUGAUCCAGCCAUGCCGCGUGCAGGAUGACGGUCCUAUGGAUUGUAAACUGCUUUUAUACGAGAAGAAACACUGCUUCGUGAAGCAGCUUGACGGUAUCGUAAGAAUAAGGAUCGGCUAACUCCGUGCCAGCAGCCGCGGUAAUACGGAGGAUCCAAGCGUUAUCCGGAAUCAUUGGGUUUAAAGGGUCCGUAGGCGGUUUAAUAAGUCAGUGGUGAAAGCCCAUCGCUCAACGGUGGAACGGCCAUUGAUACUGUUAAACUUGAAUUAUUAGGAAGUAACUAGAAUAUGUAGUGUAGCGGUGAAAUGCUUAGAGAUUACAUGGAAUACCAAUUGCGAAGGCAGGUUACUACUAAUGGAUUGACGCUGAUGGACGAAAGCGUGGGUAGCGAACAGGAUUAGAUACCCUGGUAGUCCACGCCGUAAACGAUGGAUACUAGCUGUUGGAAGCAAUUUCAGUGGCUA